AUGGGCUCAUUGCUGUGUGUGCCCUGCAGUCUGUCCCUCACUCGUCUCGUCGCCUGCAAGCCGUGCUGCCGCCCCACAGAAACGUUUCGAUUACCCGCAGUCCUUCGCCAGAUGAGGCCAGUGUCCAGGGCACUGGCUUCUCGUCUCACUCGGGCUUAUGCCAAAGAUGUAAAAUUUGGUGCGGAUGCCCGAGCCUUAAUGCUUCAAGGCGUAGACCUUUUAGCUGAUGCUGUAGCCGUUACUAUGGGGCCAAAGGGAAGGACAGUGAUUAUCGAACAGAGUUGGGGAAGUCCCAAAGUGACCACAGAUGGUGUGACUGUUGCAACGUCCAUUGACUUAAAAGUUAAAUGUAAAAAUAUUGGCGCUAAACUUGUUCGAGAUGUUGCCAAUAACACAAAUGAAGAGGCUGGGGAUGGUACCACUACUGCUACUGUACUGGCACGCUCUAUCGCCAAGGAAGGCUUCGAGAAGAUUAGCAAAGGUGCUAAUCCAGUGGAAAUCAGGAGAGGUGUGAUGUUAGCUGUUGAUGCUAUAAUUGCUGAACUGAAGAAGCAGUCUAAACCUGUGGCAACCCCAGAAGAGAUCUCCCAGGUUACUACGAUUCCUGCAGAUGGAGACAACGAAAUUGGCAACAUCAUUUCUGAUGCGAUGAAAAAGGGUGGAAGAAAGUGCGUUAUCACAGUAAAGGAUGGAAAAACACUGAAUGACGAAAUUAGAAAUUAUUGAAGGCGUGAAGUUUGAUAGAGGGUAUAUCUCUGUAUACUUUAUUAAUACAUCAAAAGAUCAGAAAUGUGAAUUCCAAGAUGCCUAUCUAUGUUCUGUUGAGUGAAAAGAAAAUUUUGGUGUCCAGUCCAUUGUUCCUGCCCUUGAAAUUGCCAGUGCUCACCAUAAGCCCUUGGUCAUAAUUGCUGAAGAUGUGGAUGGAGAAGCUCUAAGUACACUCGUUUUGAAUAGGCUGAAAGUUGGUCUUCAGGCUGUAGCAGUCAAAGCUCAAAGUUUUGGUGACAACAGAAAGAACCAGCUUAAAGACAUGGCUAUUGCUACUGGUGGUACAGUAUUUGGAGAAGGGCUAACUCUAAAUCUUGAAGAUGAUGCCAUGCUCUUGAAAGGAAAAGGGGACAAGGCUUAAAUUGAAAAGCGUAUUCAAGAAAUCAAAGAGCAGUUAGAUAUUACCCCUAGUGAAUAUGAAAAGGAAAAACUGAAUGAACGUCUGGCAAAACUCUCAGAUGGUGUUGCUGUGCUAAAGGUUGGUGGGACAAGUGACGUUGAAGUGAAUGAAAAGAAAGACAGAGUUACAGAUGCCCAUAAUGCUACGUGAGCUGCUGUUGAAAAAGGCAUUGUUUUGGGAGGGGGCUGUGCACUGCUUCAGUGCCUUCCAGCCUUGGAUUCAAAACUCCAGCUAAUGAAGAUCAAAAAAUUAGUAUAGAAAUUAUUUUCAACACACUCAAAAUUCCUGCAAUGACCAUUGCUAAGAAUGCAGGUGUCGAAGGAUCACUGAUAGUUGAGAAAAUUUUGCAGAGUUCUUCAGAAGUUGGUUAUGACGCUAUGCUUGGAGAUUUUGUGAAUAUGGUGGAAAAAGGAAUCACUGAUCCAGCUAAGGUUGUAAGAAGUGCAUUACUGGAUGCUGCUGGAGUGGCCUCUCUGUUAACUACAGCAGAAGUUGUAGUCACAGAAAUUCCUAAAGAAGAGAAGGAUCCUGGAAUGGGCGGAAUGGGUGGGAUGGGAGGUGGGAUGGGAGGUGGCAUGUCCUAA